GGCGAGAUGGCCGAGCGGUCUAAGGCGCUAGAAUCAGGAUUAAUAGUCCCUAUCUAGUUCUUCGGAGCGGGGGUUCGAAUCCCCCUCUCGUCA